rnacentral:rRNA from 1 species
CCUACGGGAGGCUGCAGUGGGGAAUUUUGGACAAUGGGCGCAAGCCUGAUCCAGCAAUGCCGCGUGAGUGAAGAAGGCCUUCGGGUUGUAAAGCUCUUUUGUCAGGGAAGAAACGGUGGGGGCUAAUAUCCUCCACUAAUGACGGUACCUGAAGAAUAAGCACCGGCUAACUACGUGCCAGCAGCCGCGGUAAUACGUAGGGUGCAAGCGUUAAUCGGAAUUACUGGGCGUAAAGCGUGCGCAGGCGGUUUUGUAAGUUUGGUGUGAAAUCUCCCGGCUCAACUGGGAGGGUGCGCCGAAUACUGAAUGACUUCGAGUGCGGGAGAGGAGAGUGGAAUUCCUGGUGUAGCGGUGAAAUGCGUAGAUAUCAGGAGGAACACCGGUGGUGUAGACGGCUCUCUGGACCGUAACUGACGCUGAGACACGAAAGCGUGGGGAUC